rnacentral:rRNA from 1 species
GACGAACGCUGGCGGCGUGCUUAACACAUGCAAGUCGAACGGAAAGGCCCUGCUUUUGUGGGGUGCUCGAGUGGCGAACGGGUGAGUAACACGUGAGUACCUGCCCUUGACUUUGGGGUAACUUUAGGAAACCGGGGCUAAUACCGGAUAGGAGCUCCUGCUGCCUGGUGGGGGUUGGGAAGUUUCGGCGGUUGGGGAUGGACUCGCGGCUUAUCAGAUUGUUGGUGGGGUAGUGGCUUACCAAGGCUUUGACGGGUAGCCGGCCUGAGAGGGUGACCGGCCACAUUGGGACUGAGAUACGGCCCAGACUCCUACGGGAGGCAGCAGUGGGGAAUAUUGCACAAUGGGCGGAAGCCUGAUGCAGCAACGCCGCGUGCGGGAUGACGGCCUUCGGGUUGUAAACCGCUUUCGCCUGUGACGAAGCGUGAGUGACGGUAAUGGGUAAAGAAGCACCGGCUAACUACGUG